GGCCACGUGGCGGAGUGGUGACGCAGCGGAUUGCAAAUCCGUGUACCCCGGUUCGAUUCCGGGCGUGGCCU
rnacentral:tRNA from 1 species